AAAAAAGAGGGAGGUGGAAAGCCGUUAAAUGGGAAAGAAGCAAAUGGAAAAUGUUGUGACUUUUAUACAUGCACAAAAUUUACUGAGCAACAAUUUCACUCUGUGAGAUCCUUGCAGGGUUGCUGAGCAGCUGCUGCCUUCAAGAAGCUAACAUUUUCAUUGAAAAAACACCUAAGAAUUCACAGGUCAUGAGUGGCAGACAUCAUGUGAGCAGACAACCAUGACAGAGAGUGGUCUGGAACCUGUACCUGUGGUUGACCAACUGUAUGGCCUUAGACAAAAUAAAGCCCUUCAUUACUCUAAA